UACGGAGGGUGCAAGCGUUAAUCGGAAUUACUGGGCGUAAAGCGCGCGUAGGCGGCCGUUUAAGUCGGAUGUGAAAGCCCUGGGCUCAACCUGGGAACUGCAUUCGAUACUGUGCAGCUAGAGUAUAGGAGAGGAGUGUGGAAUUUCAGGUGUAGCGGUGAAAUGCGUAGAGAUCUGAAGGAACACCAGUGGCGAAGGCGACACUCUGGCCUAAUACUGACGCUGAGGUGCGAAAGCGUGGGGAGCAAACAGG
rnacentral:rRNA from 1 species